UAAAAUAUCCGCCAGAAGAUUACGAGCGAAAAGCUUAAAACUCAAAGGACUUGGCGGUGCUCCAUACCGACUUAGAGGAGCCUGUCCUAUAAUCGAUACUCCACGAUAAACCUCACCAAUCUUUGCCAAAUCAGCCUAUAUACCGCCGUCGUCAACUUACCUCAUGAGAGAAAAGCAGUAAGUACAAAAGUUCAAUAACUAAAACGUCAGGUCAAGGUGUAGCUAACAGAAUGGAAGAGAUGGGCUACAUUUUUUAAGAUAAAACACAACGGCACGGUACUAUGAAACUCUUACCCAAAGGAGGAUUUAACAGUAAAACUAACAAGAAAGUUAAUUUUAAAUACGCUCUGG
rnacentral:rRNA from 1 species